rnacentral:misc_RNA from 1 species
GAUGAAGAACGCAGCGAAAUGCGAUAAGUAAUGUGAAUUGCAGAAUUCAGUGAAUCAUCGAAUCUUUGAACGCACAUUGCGCCCGCCAGUACUCUGGCGGGCAUGCCUGUCCGAGCGUCAUUUCAACCCUCGAACCCCUCCGGGGGAUCGGCGUUGGGGAUCGGCCCUCCGUUCGCGGGGGCCGUCUCCGAAAUGCAGUGGCGGUCUCGCCGCAGCCUCCCCUGCGCAGUAGCUUGCACACUCGCACCGGGAGCGCGGCGCGUCCACAGCCGUUAAACACCCAACCUUCUGGAAUGUUGACCUCGGAUCAGGUAGGAAUACCCGCUGAACUUAAGCAUAUCAAUAGCGGAGGA